GGCUUUAAUAUGAGGCGGGCUGGACCUCUCGGGGUUACAGCCUUGCUGAAUUAUUCACCCUUGUCUUUUGCGUACUUCUUGUUUCCUUGGUGGGUUCGCCCACCACUAGGACAAACAUAAACCUUUUGUAAUUGCAAUCAGCGUCAGUAACAAAUUAAUAAUUACAACUUUCAACAACGGAUCUCUUGGUUCUGGCAUCGAUGAAGAACGCAGCGAAAUGCGAUAAGUAGUGUGAAUUGCAGAAUUCAGUGAAUCAUCGAAUCUUUGAACGCACAUUGCGCCCUUUGGUAUUCCAAAGGGCAUGCCUGUUCGAGCGUCAUUUGUACCCUCAAGCUUUGCUUGGUGUUGGGCGUCUUGUCUCUAGCUUUGCUGGAGACUCGCCUUAAAGUAAUUGGCAGCCGGCCUACUGGUUUCGGAGCGCAGCACAAGUCGCACUCUCUAUCAGCAAAGGUCUAGCAUCCAUUAAGCCUUUUUUUCAACUUUUGACCUCGGAUCAGGUAGGGAUACCCGCUGAACUUAAGCAUAUCAAAAGCCGGGAGGAAA
rnacentral:rRNA from 1 species